UACGUAGGUGGCAAGCGUUGUCCGGAAUUAUUGGGCGUAAAGGGCGCGCAGGCGGCCGAUUAAGUCUGAUGUGAAAUCCCACGGCUUAACCGUGGAAGGUCAUUGGAAACUGAUUGGCUUGAGUGCAGAAGAGGAGAGUGGAAUUCCACGUGUAGCGGUGAAAUGCGUAGAUAUGUGGAGGAACACCAGUGGCGAAGGCGGCUCUCUGGUCUGCAACUGACGCUGAGGCGCGAAAGCCAGGGGAGCAAACGGG
rnacentral:rRNA from 1 species